rnacentral:snRNA from 14 species
AUAUUUACCUGACAAGGGUAAUACUACAAUCAUGAAGUCGAUUUUCCCAGGGUGAGGCUUAUCCACUGCACUCAGGAUUUGUUGACCCUGUGAUGUUCCCAACUGUGGGAAACUCGACUGCAUAAUUUGAGGUAAUGAGGACUCCAUUCACCCUGUCUCCUGG